UACGUAGGGGGGCAAGCGUUGUCCGGAUUUAUUGGGCGUAAAGAGCGUGUAGGCGGCCAGGUAGGUCCGUUGUGAAAACUGGAGGCUUAACCUCCAGCUGUCGAUGGAAACCAUCUGGCUAGAGUCCGGAAGAGGAGAGUGGAAUUCCUGGUGUAGCGGUGAAAUGCGCAGAUAUCAGGAAGAACACCCGUGGCGAAGGCGGCUCUCUGGGACGGUACUGACGCUGAGACGCGAAAGCGUGGGGAGCGAACAGG
rnacentral:rRNA from 1 species